GUCUAUCUGCCCUUAUUCGUGAGAUGUCUGACACACUGACACAUCAUCUAGUUCUAGGAGUCUAUACAGUACAUGGUUUUCAUAUCCAAACACCCUUUGUGGGAGCUAUGAUGAAGGAGACUAGGAGGAUGACAGCUACUACUCCUACUCCAAUAAUGAUGGGGACAGUUUCAAGAGGCUUGACUGAGUUGAGGAACAGACACCCAUGAACACACAGUGAAUAUUACAGUGUAGUUGUUGUUCUCCCACUUCUCAGAGUCGAUUGUGAGGUGGGCACUUUUCUGGAAGGUUCCAUCACCGUUGGGGAGAAUCUCUCCAUGCAACACAUCUUCAUGCUGUUCUUGCCCAUCUUUCUGCCAGGAGACCAUGACUCCACUGGGGUAGAAACCCGUAGCGUGGCAGGUCACUGGAGAGGAGGGGGUCUUCUGGAGCAGAGACACUGAGGGAGGGACUGGAGAGAAGAGACACCUCAUAACGGCUAACAUCAGGGAUACCCUUGUGUCUUAUCAUGAACGGGGUAUGAAAAGGAGGCAGUCAGCCUUGGUGACAGAGGCUGCUAGAGGACUACAUGUGUCUGUAGUUAAGGUAUGAAAUGGAGGGAAUAAUGAGUUUUUCCAGAGUAUUCCUUUUUUAGUCAGAAAAAUAUGAUAUAUUCCUCAUUUCAAAUAAGACUGUUUCCUGCUGGAUUCUUUUUUUAAAGGCGUUUUAAAGUAAAAGUAUUAUUUAAAAGCGAUAUUAUCUGCCCAACGACAUCUUAUUUUUUAUUUUUUCCCGAUUCACUAAUAAUAAUUCAUUUUAAUUUGCCGGAUGCCUUUCAGGACACUCAAGGACAUCUUACAUUAAAAGUAGGUUCUAUAUAAAAUUAAGUGUGAUACAUGAAGUCAUAAAAUCAAGUGCAUCAAUCAACAGUGGAAUAUAACAUCUAAACAAUCUCAAAUCAAAGGACCAGACAAAACAGGACAAUUAAAAAGAGAAGGGAGGGGUUGGGAAGAGGAUACAAACACGGGUUAGGGUAAGGGUUUGGUUUAAGGUGGUAGGCUACCCGGGUUAGGGUAAGGGUUUGGUUUAAGGUGGUAGGGUUAGUUUAGAGUAAGGGUUUGGUUUAAGAUGGUAAGGUUGGUUUAGGGUAAGGAUUUGGUUUAAGGUGGUAGGGUUAGUUUAGAGUAAGGGUUUGGUUUAAGGUGGUAGGGUUGGUUUAUGGUAAGGGUUUGGUUUAAAGUGGUAGGGUUGGUUUAGGUUAAGGGUUUGGUAUUAGGGGGUAAGGUUGGUUUAUAGGGUAAGGGUUUGGUUUAAGGUGGUAGGGUACCCGGUUUAGGGUAAAGGUUUGGUUUAAUGUGGUAGGGUUGGUUUAGGAUAAGGGUUUGGUUUAAGGUGGUAGGGUACCCAGGUUUAGGGUAAAGGUUUGGUUUAAGGUGGUAGGGUACCCGGUUUAGCGUAAAGGUUUGGUUUAAUGUGGUAGGUAGGUAGGGUAAGGGUUUGGUUUAAGGUGGUAGGGUACACAGUUUAGGGUAAGGGUUUGGUUUAAGGUGGUAGGGUUGGGAAUAGGAGCUACAUGGCACCCAUGGUAGAGAGGAGGAAUGGGGGGGAGACAUGGAGACCAGCAGUAGGAGGAGGGGAGGGAGCAGGAGAGGGCAUAGACUGGGAGAAGAUCAGAGAGGUAGGUGGGUGCCAGGAUGUAGAGGGCUUUGUAGGUGAGGAGGAGUGUUUUAAAGUUAAUACAGGAUUGUACAGAGAGCCAAAGUAGAUUGGUGAGGAUUGGUUUGAUGUGUUCUGUUGAUCUGGUGUGGGUGUGGAUUCUGGCAACGGAGUUCAGACCCAGUCUAUUGAUGAGUUUGAUGGGGAUCCGAUGAGGAGAGUGUUACAGUGGUACUGGGUCAGGAAGUAACAAAAGCAUAGAUGAGGGUUUCGGUGGUGGAGCUUGACUGUGAGCGGCAGAGCCUGGAGAUAUUGUGGGGGUGAAAGAAUGCUGUCUGGGUGCUGGUUUUUAUGUGGGGUUUGAUAGAGAGGGAACUAUCCAGGGAGACACAGAGGCUUUUGACUUGUGUUUACAGAAGGACUGGGAAACCAUCUACGGUGACGCUUGGAGAGAGUGGAUUUGAAGCGGAUGAGCAUGACCUAUGUCUUGUUGAUGUUGAGUUUGAGGAGGUUCAUGUCUUGAAGGCAGCUGAUGAGGAGGUGGGAGGGAGGGAGGGGAGUGGUGGGUUUGGUGGAGAGGUAGAGCUGUGUGUCAUAAGCAUAGUAGUGGAAGUAAACUUUGUGAUGUUAGAUGAUCUUGCCCAGGGGGAGGAGGUGUAUGGAUUCGUCUGACAAUAACCAUUCAUGGUUGAGGAAGGUUUUUGAACACUACUGAGUAAUUAACAGGGAUGAGGUCCAUGGUUUGAAUCAUAAGUGAAAUGUAUUUAGAAAUCUAUUACUCAAAACGAUGAGGUUCACUACAAAUCACUUAUCAAUCCAUAAUCAUUUAGCGGCAGUGAGAUGGAUGCCUAUACACUGUAUUAAUGACAGUGUAUCCAGUCACAAUGCAUCAAGCUGCCCUCAAACCUAGAUAUCUAGUACACAGUAAUAAAUGCUGUAUCAACAUUGUUCUGAAACAUGUUGGUUGUUCUCUAACAACCAAUACCAACUGUAAUUACAUAGCAGUUAUUAUGUAAGUACAAAGUACCAAAGCAUAUUCAUCCAGCCCGGCACUAUCACACCUGAUACAGCCUAAUGCAAUAAGUUGUAUCUGAUGUGCCUGAGAUAGAUUUCAAAUAGACAGCAGAUUUAUUUUCUGAAGCACCAAUAUCUUUCAUCACCAAUAUUACUGAGUCACAUAUCUAUAUUCACUAUUAGAGCGCUCAGCAAUAAUAUCACACAAUCUUCAGCGCUAACGCUCAUACAAUGAUCCUAUCACCCACACAUACUUAUUAGCUUUCACUUUAAAAUAGAAACAGCAAUACAUACAAACGUCAUAGGUUUAGGGAAAGGUGCCCAGGGAGAAGGAGAGUUGAUCCUGGCUGGAGGUCUUAGGUUUAGGGAAAGGUGCCCAGGGAGAAGGAGAGUUGAUCCUGGCUGGAGGUCUUAGGUUUAGGGAGACGUGCCCAGGGAGAAGGAGAGUUGAUCCUGGCUAGAGGUCAUAGGUUUAGGGAGACAUGCCUAGGGAGAAGGAGAGUUGAUCCUGGCUAGAGGUCAUAGGUUUAGGGAGACGUGCCCAGGGAGAAGGAGAGCUGAUCCUGGCUAGAGGUCAUAGGUUUAGGGAGAUGUGCCCAGGGAGAAGGAGAGCUGAUCCUGGCUAGAGGUCAUAGGUUUAGGGGAUGUGCCCAGGGAGAAGGAGAGCUGAUCCUGGCUAGAGGUCAUAGGUUUAGGGAGACGUGCCCAGGGAGAAGGAGAGUUGAUUCUGACUAGAGGUCAUAGGUUUAGGGAGAUGUGCCCAGGGAGAAGGAGAGCUGAUCCUGGCUAGAGGUCAUAGGUUUAGGGAGACGUGCCCAGGGAGAAGGAGAGUUGAUCCUGGCUAGAGGUCAUAGGUUUAGGGAGAUGUGCCCAGGGAGAAGGAGAGCUGAUCCUGGCUAGAGGUCAUAGGUUUAGGGAGACGUGCCCAGGGAGAAGGAGAGUUGAUCCUGGCUAGAGGUCAUAGGUUUAGGGAAACGUGCUCAGGGAGAAGGAGAGCUGAUCCUGGCUAGAGGUCAUAGGUUUAGGGAGACAUGCCCAGGGAGAAGGAGAGUUGAUUCUGACUAGAGGUCAUACUUUUUCCAUACUUACGAUUCAACUACCAGGCAGCCAGUACUGGAAAUUUGGUCUAAGGCACCUCACUUCUCUUGUCCUCUCAAGGCACGCCAGCCUUUACAAAUAAGCACCAAUAUUACAGAGUCACAUAACGAGACGCACCUGGGCACAAUCCCAGUUAGGUAAUGCAUGUCAUACCAAUAUAGCAGUCGACUUGGGUAUUCCGUAAUGUUAAAUUAGAGAACUAUUUAAAAGUGAAUUGUUUUAUUACACAUGCAGUCUUCAUUACGUAAAGCAUAUUUAGGUUAAGCUACACAUGACUAAGUCGCUUAAAAGUGUCUGCUUAAUGGCGUAUAUUAUUAUAUAUUAUUAUAUAAUAUUAUAUGUGGAAUAUAAUAUAUUUUUAAUAUUGAUACAGUCAUGGGUCACGUGUGUUUAUAACCUACUGUAUCUGGCCUGUUAGUCAGUUGACUAUCUGGUUAAAUAGUGAAACAACGUUGUGUGCUCGCCUUUGCUAUGUCAUUGAAGAAC